rnacentral:rRNA from 1 species
UACGAAGGGGGCUAGCGUUGCUCGGAAUUACUGGGCGUAAAGCGCGCGUAGGCGGAUCUGCAAGUCGGGGGUGAAAUCCCGAGGCUCAACCUCGGAACUGCCUUCGAUACUGCGGGUCUCGAGUCCGGGAGAGGUGAGUGGAAUUCCUAGUGUAGAGGUGGAAUUCGUAGAUAUUAGGAAGAACACCAGUGGCGAAGGCGGCUCACUGGCCCGGUACUGACGCUGAGGUGCGAAAGCGUGGGGAGCAAACAGG